rnacentral:rRNA from 1 species
GAUGAACGCUGGCGGCGCGCCUAACACAUGCAAGUCGAACGAUUAAAGCACCUUCGGGUGUGUAUAAAGUGGCGAACGGCUGAGUAACACGUGGGCAACCUGCCCCUUUCAUUGGGAUAGCCACGGGAAACCGUGGAUAAUACCGAAUACUUCGAGACUUCCGCAUGGAAGACUCGAGAAAGCUCCGGCGGAGAGGGAUGGGCCCGCGGCCUGUUAGCUUGUUGGUGGGGUAACGGCCUGCCAAGGCAAUGAUGGGUAGCUGGGUUGAGAGACCGACCAGCCAGAUUGGGACUGAGACACGGCCCAGACUCCUACGGGAGGCAGCAGUGGGGAAUCUUGCACAAUGGGCGAAAGCCUGAUGCAGCGACGCCGCGUGCGGGAUGAAGGCCUUCGGGUUGUAAACCGCUCUCAGCAGGGACGAGGCGAAAGUGACGGUACCUGCAGAAGAAGCCCCGGCUAACUACGUGCCAGCAGCCGCGGUAAUACGUAGGGGGCAAGCGUUAUCCGGAUUCAUUGGGCGUAAAGCGCUCGUAGGCGGUCUGUUAGGUCGGGAGUUAAAUCCGGGGGCUCAACCCCCGCUCGCUCUCGAUACCGGCAGACUUGAGUUUGGUAGGGGAAGGUGGAAUUCCUAGUGUAGCGGUGGAAUGCGCAGAUAUUAGGAAGAACACCAGUGGCGAAGGCGGCCUUCUGGGCCAUAACUGACGCUGAGGAGCGAAAGCUAGGGGAGCAAACAGG